rnacentral:siRNA from 1 species
CUCAACCCAUGAACGUAAUGAGUU